rnacentral:rRNA from 1 species
UACCAGCACCCCGAGUGGUCGGGACGAUUAUUGGGCCUAAAGCAUCCGUAGCCGGUUUUACAAGUCCUCCGUUAAAUCCAGCUGCUUAACAGAUGGGCUGCGGAGGAUACUACAAGGCUAGGAGGCGGAAGAGGCAAGCGGUACUCAGUGGGUAGGGGUAAAAUCCUCUGAUCCAUUGAAGACCACCAGUGGCGAAGGCGGCUUGCCAAUACGCGCUCGACGGUGAGGGAUGAAAGCUGGGGGAGCAAACCGG